rnacentral:lncRNA from 1 species
UCAUAAUGUACCCAUUUCUUUCUUAUAACCUUUAAGAGCUUUCACACAACUUGGCCAAAAUAAAAAUAAAAAAGAAGCUUUCAUUUCACACACCAACACAUAUCUCUAAACACAUAAAUCUCUGGAAUUUACUUCCUUAUACGUCUCUAUUCUUUAUCAGCAUAUUUAUACAAGAGAGCCAAAUGAGAACUCACUCAUCUCAUAAAAACAAAAACAACAACACACAUUUCAAAGAACUCUGAAAUGGCAAACCAAAAAGGGUUACAUGUAGUGAUGAUGAUCAUCACUGUUUGGCUUCUUUAUGCAGCACCUAAUAUCCAUGGAUGGGGAAAAGAAGGUCAUGAAAUCAUCUGUAAAAUCGCUCAGGUUUUGAUUUUUUCAUCUACUUUUUCUUUCAGACUAUAAACUAAGUAUGUAAUAAUUUAAUAAAUUAAAGGAGAAAAAUAGACUAGGUUGGAUGAAACAGCAGCAAAGGCCGUGAAAGAGCUGUUACCUGAAUCUGCAGAAGGAGACCUCUCAAGCUUGUGUCUUUGGGCUGAUCGUGUCAAGUUCAGAUACCACUGGUCUUCUCCUCUUCAUUACAUCAACACUCCUGAUGCAUGCUCAUACCAAUACAAUAGUGAGCGUUUUUAUUAUAAUAUCCAUAUCACAAAAAAAUUAAAAGCAUAAGUGUUGUGUAUCCAACCACAUUUCCUUUGUUUCGGGUCCAAAGGGGACUGCAAGGACGAAUCUGGAGAGAAAGGAAGAUGUGUUGCGGGAGCCAUUUACAACUACACCACACAGCUUCUUUCCUACAAAACUGCAGCUUCAUCUC